UUACUGGUUUUCCUGUAGACAAUAUUGCAAAGUUUCAACUGAGACCAGACUAAAAAAAAAAAUCAGACAAAUAUUAGUAACAGUGUGAUGGGGUGGACUAGGUCCUGAGGCCCCCUGCUGGAGGCCUUGUGGCCCUACCACACCUCACCCCAAAAAAGGGCAGUGGAGAGGGUCCUCCCAGCUGCCUAGAGUGGCUGUAUGGGAGGCAGCCAAGCAGGGCCCAGCAGGCUAGUAUAAGAAGAGCUGCAGGGCCAGACUAAGAGCAGUUCCUUGCUUGAGCUGGAGGAGAGUGGAUGGUUCUCUGAACUGGCUGCUGGGAGUCCACCAGGACAAGGCCCAGAGACAGACUGUGUAUGACUCGGCCAGAGGGCUGAGUCACCGAAGACCCACCACAAACAGAGAGAGAGAGAAUGCAGGCACACACACUUGGCCGGGGGUGCUUGUGAAAGGCAAUGAACCAUGGCAGCUGAACUGGAGGUGUCACAGCCAGUUAUGUUAGUGACUAUCUGCAAUUAUUUACAAAUAAAAAAAAUUAGAACUUUUAAAAUCUUUUAGGUUCUAGGGAUAUUACGUUAAAUAGUAAAAACAAGAAAGUGUUACAAGGAAUAGAAAAUGGAAUUUGUGAAGCUAACAUAGCACACACACUUACAAGUCCAUCUUUAAUGAGCACCAAUUUUUCCAUAACAUGCACCUGAAGUCGUAGAGUGGGAUUGUCAAAACUGCUCAUUGUUAGCCUAAUUGAUUUAGUCCUAUGCCAGAUGCUUUUUGAAAAAUCUCACCCAUAACAUAGAAUACUAGCUGAAUAUGCUUACAAAUCAACUUGGUAGGUCUGGAAUCUAAACAAGAGACCAAAUGAUAAGUGUAAAAAACAUGUUGUUUUAAAUGGACAUUUAUAAACCUCACAAGAAAUGAACAAAGCUAAGCCCAGCACUCUAGUUUCACAUAACUGAUCAUCUUGUCUGAUCAUUGGCAUGAGUUUAGAAUAAAGUACCCUGCAUCUCUUUCUGAACUGCU